UAUCUCUAGUUCUAUGUUUCAUAUCUCUAGUUCUAUGUUUCAUAUCUCUAGUUCUAUGUAUCACAUCGUUCUAGUUCUAUGUUUCAUAUAUUUCUAGUUCUAUCACAUCGUUCUAGUUCUAUCAUAUAUUUCUAGUUCUGUGUAUAUUUAGUUUUACCAGUGACACCAAUGUGUUGAUCUAGUAUUUUCUUUUGAAGUGAUGUUUCUUUGUCUCGCUGUGACAAGGUUCUCACCACAUCCUGGUUCUGUCAUCACAACACGCCACAUUCACAGAGUUCAACCUAUUUCCUGUACAUCUCUCUGACACACACCUUUUCUCUACACACUCUCUCACACACACAUUCUCUCUCUCUACACACACUUUCUCCAUAUCAUACUCUCUACGUACACACUUUCUGUCUGCUAAAUAACAGUGUCAGGAAUAUCAUCUAUCAUGGUGGGCUCCUGUCCCAUCUGUGGGAAACCUGUCGAAUUUGCAUGAUGAGAAACCCUACUGCACUAACUGAUACAUGUAGAUGUUUGGUACCAGAGGUAGAUACUCAGGUAACAGGAGACUGAUGUCAAACUGUCACAGCUCAGCCUCCUCUUCCUCUUCCUCCUCCUAGGAACCAGUCUAACAAACCAAAAACCAACCAAAAUACAACCUAAUGAGAACGAACAGGCUAUCAACAAGGAUCUAUGUUCAACAAACCUGACAUUCAGCCAUCAAGCCAAUGACCAACCAACUAGACCCAACAUUCAGCCAACCAACGUUUGACCAACCAAGAAAUAACCAAUAGACAACCAAGCUGACAUUGAACAAACUACUAUCCAACCAACAGACAUCAAUCUCACUCUGAAAGAUCCCCUCUAUCAGUCAAUCAUAAAACACCUACCUGCUAUCCAAUCAACAGACAUCAGUCUCACUCUGAAAGAUCCCCUCUAUCAGUCAAUCAUAAAACACCUAUCUGCUAUCCAAUCAACAGACAUCAGUCUCACUCUGAAAGAUCCCCUCUAUCAGUCAAUCAUAAAACACCUACCUGCUAUCCAAUCAACAGACAUCAGUGUCACUCUGAAAGAUCCCCUCUAUCAGUCAAUCAUAAAACACCAUGAUGUUCAAUGGAGACAACGGUUGUUCUUCAAUAAAACAGAAGCUUCUACAGUC